rnacentral:rRNA from 1 species
AUUGAACGCUGGCGGCAGGCCUAACACAUGCAAGUCGAGCGAGCGGCGGACGGGUGCGUACUGUCUGGGCACCUGCCUGAUGGAGGGGGAUAACUACUGGAAACGGUAGCUCAUACCGCAUACCAUCAGAUGUGCCCAGAUGGGAUUAGCUAGUAGGUGGGGUAACGGUUCACCUAGGCGACGAUCCCUAGCUGGUAUGAGAGGAUGACCAUCCAAACUGGAACCGAGACACGGUCCAGACUCCGACGGGAGGCAGCAGUGGGGAAUAUUGCACAAUGGGCGCAAGCCUGAGGCAGCCAUGCCGCGUGUGUGAAGAAGGCCUUCGGGUUGUAAAGCACUUUCAGCGGGGAGGCGUUACCCGCAGAAGAAGCACCGGCUAACUCCGUGCCAGCAGCCGCGGUAAUUC